GCCUGGGUGGCUCAGUUGCUUAAGCAUCUGACUUUGGCUCAGGUCAUGAUUUUACGGUCCAGUUCGUGGGUUCGAGCCCCACAUUAGGCU
rnacentral:tRNA from 1 species